GGGUGUAUAGCUCAGUUGGUAGAGCAGCUGACUCUUAAUCAGCGGGUCGCAGGUUCGAGCCCUGCUACACCCACCA
rnacentral:tRNA from 1 species